rnacentral:rRNA from 1 species
GAUGAACGCUGGCGGCGUGCCUAAUACAUGCAAGUCGAGCGAACAGACGAGGAGCUUGCUCCUCUGACGUUAGCGGCGGACGGGUGAGUAACACGUGGAUAACCUACCUAUAAGACUGGGAUAACUUCGGGAAACCGGAGCUAAUACCGGAUAAUAUAUUGACCCGCAUGGUUUCAUAGUGAAAGACGGUUUUGCUGUCACUUAUAGAUGGAUCCGCGCCGCAUUAGCUAGUUGGUAAGGUAACGGCUUACCAAGGCAACGAUGCGUAGCCGACCUGAGAGGGUGAUCGGCCACACUGGAACGGAGACACGGUCCAUAGUCCUACGAGAGGCAGCAGUAGGGAAUCUUCCGCAAUAGGCGAAAGCUUGACGGAGCAACGCCGCGUGAGUGAUGAAGGUCUUCGGAUCGUAAAACUCUGUUAUUAGGGAAGAACAAAUGUGUAAGUAACUAUGCACGUCUUGACGGUACCUAAUCAGAAAGCCACGGCUAACUACGUG